UUAGAACAUGGUGAGAUUAGACAAAGAAGGAGCGGCCAGCACCGGCUUUAUCCCAUCAAGGCAAGUGGGAACAGCGGCAAAGUUACUCCGGGAAGGAUAUUUGAUUUCGUUAUCAUGAGCUACGCUGCUGGCGAAAUUAUUGCCGCGCAAACCUGAGAUGAAGCGCAUAAUCGUAAUCUACAACUUUUCGGCUUGCAACGGGUAGCUAUUCAUCUUGCUAUCAGCCCUGAUAAAAUGGAGGAACAUCGCAUAGCUCGAAAUCUUGAAGUACUGUUGUACACGUUGAUGCUUCGUCUGAUAUGCGAUUGUAAAGAUGGUCAUUUUCACGUAUAUGCCGGGCACCAAACUAAUGGUUUUCUAUUGGCGCGAGCUGACUAACAAAGAUCUUGCCGGAACUCGAUAACCAUCUGAUGAUUUAUACGGAACGGAGUGAUACUGGCUAUGUAUCAUAUUGCAUCGUGCAAAAUGUGUCUACCUGCGGGAAGUGGACAAUGUCGUUCGAUCCGAACUAUUCUCUAUCCUCGAAAGACAACCCAGCAUAGAACCAAGGACCAAGGCACACGCAUUCACUUCCAGCUUACUACCUCCAGAUGGUCCUAAGAGCGAUCUAUUCUCAUCAGCAUAUCUGAUCAUCAAAUGGUGUUAAUAAAAAUAAACUUUCUCUGUGCAAAAUCCAUGCUUUAGUUUUUAUUUUCAUUUUGACAAUAA